AGCUGCUCCGCACAGCCCCGCCUGGCACGCAGCUCCAGCGGCUGGUCGGGUAGUAGUCGGUCCCGCCCACCCGGUGCGGUGGCCCCUGGGGUUUCAGUCCAAGGGGAGGGACCAGCGCUCCAAGAAGGUGAGGCUGCUGGGAUGGGUGACUCCGCCGUCACUGCAAACACGGGACGUCCCGUCUACUCCCUUACGCCUGCUUGGUCUGAGCCCGAGUCUACCUCUUCUCUAAGUCGCCAGCUCGGCACUUGUACCCGGGACCUGUGCUCCUCCCACAAGAAAUUAAAUCAUUUUUGGGAAGCCCUCAAGGUACCAUAAGCUCUGGGCAGUGUGCCUAAGACUUCUAAUGGAGAAUUUAGCCCUGUGCAGAUGAUAUUGCAGAGGAGGAAUGCUUAGUUAAUUUAGGAUACCUGUGCAGGACAUGACAUGCAGGUUUGUCAUGUAGGUAAACAUGUGCCAUGGUGGUUUGCUGCACCUGUCGACCCAUCACCUAGGUAUUAAGCCCCACAUGCAUUAGCUAUUUUUCCUGAUGUUCUCCCUCCCUCCACCCCCUUGACAGGCCACAGUGUGUGUUGUUCCCCUCCCUGUGUCCAUGAGUUCUCAUUGUUCAGCUCCCACUUAUAAGUGAGAACAUGUGACGUUUGGCUUUCUGUUCCUGUGUUAGUCUGUGGAGGAUAUUGGCUUCCAGCUCCAACCAUGUCUCUGCAAAGGACAUGAUCUCAUUCCUUUUUAUGGCUGCAUAGUAUUCCAUGGUGUAUAUGUACCAGCAGUUAGUUCUUAAAUUAAAAAAAAAAGCUUUCAUAUUUAAUCAAGUUAGGUUAUUUCAAUAUAUGCACCAUAAUGAUUAUUGUAAAGUAAGUUCUGUAAACUAAGGAAAAAUAACUAUUUUGUGCAAUCUCAGAAAAAUCUACUAGAUGGUAUGGGAAACAAGAAAGAGAAAUGAAGAGGCAAAUAAAAACAUGGCAUUUAUUGAGUAGCUGUAUGCUGGGAGAUUUGAACAUUCUCCUUUCCUUUCCCCUAAUUUUACGUACAGAGAAGUAACUUCUUGAAGGUUGUAUGUUCCAGCUUGCAACUAGCCAUGUUGGAUUUAGAAACAGGUCAAAGUCAAGUUCCAUGCUUUCUUCCUGUCUCAUGAUAGCAUUCUCUCCCAUUCUCUACCUGCACAUAUAUAUUUCAUAAAACUAGAAAGAGGACUCCACUAUAUUUUACAUCAUUUCUUCAAAUGAAGAAGAGAUCUGAGUUCUUCAUACCUUCAACAUGUACUUACAUUCCAGGAAUUUAACUAUCCGUAAGGUAUUUAAAUCCUACAUUCAUGAUAUUGUUUUAAUUGCCCUGAGUCAACUAAUUGACAAAGGAAAAUGCUAUGCUUAAAAGCUCAGUUCUCAGUGUAAUUAUUUUUCUCUCCCCACAUAUAAUCAUCCUUUAAAUAUAAAAGCUAUUAUAGAGAUGCAGUUUCCAGCAAACUUUAUCUCACAUUGAGGCCCUUGACUUUAUGUGGUGUUUCAGAUCAGCUUUUUUGUCAAGGGUCACACAUUCAUUCCAGCAUCACUUAAUUCUUUAGCUGUUAGUCUCCAUCCAGCACUAGGGUAGACCCUGGAGAUGCAAAAGCAAGCUAGAGACAGUACCCUUAUUCUCAUGGAGCUAAACAUUAGAGAGGUAUUGGUGUAUUCUUCGGAGUAUAUAAUGCCCUUUCCAGCUAUGGACUCUGCCUUUCUUUAUGUAUUCACCUCUUCCUGGAAGCCACUUUGAGUUGGCAGAAACACUCUGCCUGCCUCAGGAGACAGAGGGAAUUAUUUGUUGAUAAAUUGGGGAAGAAUGGCUCUAAAUGCUUACAUCAGCUCUGUCCUUCCUCUUGGGAAUGAGAUGCAUGCAGGGAGCAUUUAGCCUGCAAGGCUUCUCUGCUGCUCUUCAGGGAUGCUUCCCUGUAGGAGAGAGAUCUACCUGGGUCUGGGGUGGCCUCUUCCUCCCUGGGUGAGUGUGCCUAGUUCUGGGGUUCAGCUAGUGGGUAUCUUGGCUCUGUCACAGUUAUACCCUCCAUCAUGGCCUCUAUUGGUAAUAAAGGAGAUACUUAGCUCUCAUCUGUCUUAGUCUUCGUUCCAUUAGCAGGGAAGAGGGGUGUCAUUCAUCGUGGCUGAUUUAAAGCUACAAAACUGAUGAGCUUUCUGUAUCCCUUUCUUUCUGGCUCCUAAUUCACUUAUCCUUUGCCCAUAAUUAGCACUCAUUAUGCACUGUCCUGUUCGUUAAUUGUUACCAUGGCUAUGGCUUUUUCUUGAUGUUUUUGUGAGUCUAUCGUGUUUAUAGCUUAUGUCUUUUAGGCCCUACUUAUAAGUAGAAAGAGAACAGGAAGUGAGCUCCCCCAAAAUAGACAUGCAGUCAAUAUCACAAACCCCAAGAGGGCAAGUUCUGGAACCAGCAGAUUCCAGCUCUGCAAUAUUAGCUCUAUAACUUCACCCACAUUACUUAACCUCAGUUUCUUCCUCUGGAAAAUGGGGAAAAUAAUGACACCCUUCUCAUAUUAUCACACAUGAAGUUCCUGACACAGAGUACACACUGAAUGCAUGUGUGCUGUUAUUACAAAAAGGAAUUAAAUCAGAUGGUUUUACCUUCCUUAGAAAGAAUUAAUACAGAAAAAAAAAAAGCUCCUCAACUCUCUUAAGUACUCUGAAUGAAUGACCUCUGUAUUGCAGACUCUUUAAAGCAGCAGUCUCCAAACUUUUUAGCACCAGAGACUGGUUUCGAGGAAGACAAUUUUUCCACAGACCCGGGUGGGGUGAAGGAUGGUUUUGGGAUGAUUCAAGCCCAUUACACUUACCAUUCUAUUCUCAUAAAAGAGCGCACAACCUUGCAUGCACGGUUCACAGUUGGGUUCUGGCUCCUGUGGGAAUCUAAUGCCGCCGCUGAUCUGACAGGAAGCUGAGCUCAGGCAGCCAGUGCUGGCUUGCCUUACCUCCUGCUGUUCUGCCCAGGUCCUGACAGGCCACAGAGCAGUACUGGUCCACAACCUGGGGGCUGGGGACACCUGCUUUAAGGGAACAGUUCUUGAGAACAAACAACAUCUGCUCCAGAGGUCAUUGAUGCUUGAAGAUCAUAGUGAAAGAAGAAUGUUCUCAAAGAACAAGAUUUUUGGGUCAGAUAUUGCUAUGUUUGAAUCUCUUUCCUUCAAAUCCACUUACACAUCCUCCCUGAACCUCAUUUUUUAAAUAAAAUAAUACAAUGAUAUUUACAUAUAAUAUAAUAUUUUGAGAUUUAGGUUAAAUGGUGCAGUUGAAAGUCACUAAUAGUAUAAGGCAUAUGGCAUAUUGUACAUCAAUCUAUUGUAUUUUAUAUCAAUAUAUGUUGUAUUCAAUAUUGUUCAUUAUUCAUUGUUCAUUAUUCAAUAUGUAUUCAUAUUGUACAUCAAUAUAUGUUGAAUAACUGAAUCCAGGGAAUAUUCCUUCUGCAACUGAUUUCAAAUAGUGCCAUUACCCAGAGCUGUGGAUGUUGCCUGAGUUGACUUGUACUUACCUGCAAAGCAAGUGACCUUGAACGGGCAGAGUAAGAGGAAGAGGCCCUCCAUGGAAAACUAAACAACUGGUCCAUUUUUGUUUGAAUAAUCAAGUCUGGGAGGUGUUCCUUGUGCAGAGCACAUUAUUUUCUUUCUAUAUUGGAUAGCUGUACCCCAUUCACAGGGGUGACAUGCCAUUCAUACUGCAGCAGUAGGAAAGUCCCCAUGGUUUCUCUUUCCUCAUUCACUUUUAUAUGUAUAUAUAUUUUUUAUUAUACUUUAAGUUCUAGGGUACAUGUGCACAAUGUUCAGGUUUGUUACAUAUGUAUACACGUGCCAUGUUGGUGUGCUGCACCCAUUAACUUGUCAUUUACCUUAGGUAUAUCUCCUAAUGCUAUCCCUCCCCACUCCCCCUACUCCACAACAGGCCCCAGUGUGUGAUGUUCCCCUUCCUGUGUCUAAGUGUUCUUAUUGUUCAAUUCCCAUCUGUGAGUGAGAACACAUCAUUCACUUUUGAUGUCGGUGGAAUAGUGGCCCCCACAAAGACGUACACAUCCGGAUCCCCAGAACCUAUGAAUAUGUUCCUUUACAUGGUUUUAUGGAUUGAUCUGUAUGCUGCUAAAAUUAAUAUGUUGAAGUUGUGGCCCACAAUACCACAAAAUGUGACUAAAUUUGGAGAUAGGUCUUUUCAGAGGUAAUCAAUUUAAGAUGAGUUUAUUAGGGUAGAUGCUAAUUUAAUGUAACUUUGUUCCCAUAAGAAGGAAAAAAUUGGACACGGAGAUAAGGACAGAGGAAAGAUGAUGUGAAGACAGGGGCAGAAGUCAGCCAUCUACAAGUCAAAGGGAGACAUGUGGAACAGAUUCACCCUCACAGCCCUCAGAUGGAAGCAACACCACUAACACUUUGCUCUUGGACUUCUAGCUUCCAGAACUGAGAGACAAUAUCUUUCUGUUGCUUAAGUCAUUCUGUCUGUGAUACUGUGUUUAUGGCAGCCCUGGCAAACUAAUACAGUCCCACAAAGAUUUGGUUGUUGCUUUGCAAGAGAAUGUAUAAUUCCUGGUUAUUUCUACAAAUAAGGGCAUUGACUUUAUAAAGCUACAAGUAUACCCCAGUAUUCUGUUUCUGGUUUUUGUUUACUUUCAUAUAUGCUAUCUUUUCAUUCCCAGGUGAAAUCAUAGUGCAUUUUAAAUGAUAUUUUAAAGAGCAAUUAUACUCGUCAUAUGUACUUCAAAUAAUACUGAUUCCUCAAUUGAAGUAAUGGUAACAUGAGUGUAUUAGUUAAUUUUUUCUGAAUAACUAGUUACCUCCAAAGUUCAUGCCUUCAAGCAACACAUAUUCAUUAUUUCACAGCUUCUUUGGGUCAGGAGUCUUGGCAUAGCUUAGCUGAGUCCUCUGGCUCCUGGCGUCCCAGGCUGUAAUCAAGGUGGUGGCCAGGACUGUAGUCAUGUCAGGGCUCGCCAGGGAAGGAUCUGCCUCCAAGCUAACCAGUGUGGCUUUUGGCAGAAUAUAUUUCUAUGCAGGUUGUUGGACUGAGUUUCUUGCUGGCUGUUCCAGAGGUUCCCUUAGCAUCUUGUCGUGUGGCCUCUUCAUAGGUCAAUUCAUAUUGGCUUCAUCAAAGUGAGCAGGUAAGAUAGCAAAAGAGAAUGCCCAAGAUAGAAGCCAUAGUCUUUUUGUAAUCUAAUCUUAGAAGUGACAGCCUGUUAUAUUUGCUAUAUUCUCUUUGUUAGAAACAAGUUUCUAGGGCUGGGCAUGGUGGCUCACAUCUGUAAUCCCAGCAUUUUGGGAGGCCGAGACAGGCAGAUCACCUGAGGUCAGGAGUUCGAGACCAGCCUGGCCAACAUGGCGAAAUCCUGUCUCUACUAAAAAUACAAAGCCGAGUGUGGUGGCGCAGGCCUGUAAUCCCAGCUACUUGGGAGGCUAAGGCAGGAGAAGCACUUGAACCUGGGUGGUGGAGGUUGCAGUGAGCCAAGAUUGUGCCACUGCACUCCAGCCUGGGUGACAGAGUGAGACUCCAUCUCAAAAAACAAACAAACAAAAAACCAAAUUACUAGGUUUGUCUCAUUCUCAAGGGAAGAGUUUACUCAAGAGAAUAAAUACCAGGAGGUUGGGAUCACUGGAGGCCAGUUUAGAGUCUGCCUACCAAUAGGAGCAAGGCCAUCAAUGUCAGUCAGUGACAUCAACAUCAUGUAGACUGCUUGGCCAACAGUAAUGCUAAAAUGCCAUCAAUCUUGAGAUCAUCUUCAUCUCAUAAAUAUUAACAUGUAAAAAAAGUCAUUUUAAAGUAAAG
rnacentral:lncRNA from 10 species